AACUUAAAAAAUGAUACAUAGCAAUGAAUAUAAAAAGGACUACAUUUUUUUUGUCCUUUAUUUAUAUGUGUGUCUGUUAUCGUUCUUGUGUAAUAAAGAGAAUGAAGCGCAAAUACCAUCAGAAAUAUAGAUCUCAGUGGGAACAAAAUCCUGAAUUUUUUUCAUGGAUAACAAAAGAUAAAAAUAGUGAGAACGCCUUGUGUAAAACUGUGUGGAGCAAUAAUUUUGAGCAGAAUCGCAACAUUUAAAAGUCAUGCAAAGUCUGAAAAACAUCGGCAGAAAUUCAUACAUUAUAAUGGACAAUGCAAGAUUGAUAAAUUAUUUCAAAGGAAAGGACCCAUAUCUGACGAAGUAAGAAAAGCAGAGCUUAUAUUUUGUGCAGCGUUGCAGAAAAUAACAUACUAUUUCGGGCCAUGGAUCAUCUUAGCUAUUUAUUCAGCAAAAUGUUUUAUGAUUCGGAAAUUGCAAAGGGUUUUUCCUACAAAUGCACUAAAUCUGCUCAGUUAAUUUGCGACGUAAUGGCGCCGUCAUUUGAAAAACAGUUAUUAACCGAUAUAAAAAAUACAAUUACCGAUAUAAAUAAUAUAAUAUAUUUUAUCAGAUAAUGCUGCUACUUUUUCAUUAAUUAUAGAUGAAAGCACCGACAUUACAACAGAAAAAUUACUUGUCAUUGCAAUAAAGUUUUAUAGCGUUCAGGAUAAUCUAUCUAAAUCUAAUCUAAGUCUAUUAAGUGAAACUGCUGAAAAUAUUUUUAUCUCACUGUGUAUUUAAAAAUUGAAAAUAUUUCAGGAUUUGCAGCUAAUACAACAAAUUUAAUGUUUGGGAGAAACAAAAGUGUGGUUGCAAAGGUUAAGUCGAUCAAUUCUAAUUGUAUUUUUGUAAAAUGUACAUGUCAUUCAUCAGCAUAAACUGUAAGUUAUGCAUGUAAAAAAUUGCCUAAAGCAUUGAAUCAAAUUGUGAAAGAACUCUAUAAUUAUUUUGAUCAUUCUCAUUUGACAAACGCACAAGAGAAUUUGCAGAAUUUCAGACCUUUGUAGAAUCAGAGCAUGACAAUAUUUUACGUCACUACGACAUAUGUUGGCUCUCCCUUUACGGCUGUAUAAAUCGCAUAGUAGAACAGUGGAAUGCACUUCAGCUGUAUUUUCAGCAAGAACAUCUCGUAGAACAUAACUCUAGCCAUUCGCAGCAGCUACAUUCGUGCCACUGCUAUUGUAGACAUAGAUCCUAAUAGUAAUAAAUUUUGUAGAAUUACAUGUGAUAUACUUAGGUAUAAAAGUGUUUUUAAUAAAAUAGCGCUGUUAAGAAAUCAACCAAGUAACAGUAGUAUCGUAAUUAUAGACUUUUUAAAAAGGUGUUAAAGCUUUUUGAUAGAGUUAUGUACUCAACUUAAAUGUCGAUUUCCUAAUAAUGAAAAAAUAUUUUCCGAGUCACGAUUCAUAGACCCACAACUAGCGGCUUAUGAAAAUUUUACAUCUCUUAUCAGCGUUAUGAACAGGUUUCCGACCAUUACUACAAAUAAUACAGUAAGACAAUUAUCUGACGAGGAAUAUCGUCAAAUUAAGUAUGAUUCAGAGGUACAAAACCUGAUGUGUGGUUCUAGUAGUAGUCCUAGUGCUGUAAAUGUUGAACAGAUUUGGAGACAAUUAAAGUUGUAUUGUUAACAGUAAAAAUGUUCCUAAGUACAAAAAUUUGACUAAUUUUGUAAAAUGUCUAAUGUGCAUACCCAUUUUAAACGCUGAAUGCGAAAGAAUUUUUCAAAAGUUAAUCAUAUAAAAACUAUGUAUAGAAACAGGUUUCUAGCUAAACAUAUUGCGUGCCUGUUGUAUGUUAAGCAAGGUUUAAGUGAAGGGAGUGUAGGUUGUGUGUCAUUUGACCCAUCGAAAGAUAUGGUAAAAAAUAAUCCGUCGAAUACUAUUUGCAAUAAAACUUAUUGUAAAUAUUUAUUAUUAUUUUAAUAUGUCUGUAUACAGAAGUGUGAAAUUGGUAAAAUAAAAAAAAGUUAGUGAUAAUAAGUGUUUUAAUUAAAUUUUUCCUCUUCUACUUUUUUAGUACAUUUUUAGUAUAAUUCAGUAUGUGUUUUGGUAUUAUUUAGUACUGCCACCUUGUAGUUUUAGUAGAUUCUAUUUUUUAAAACGGUCACAUUGGAUACUGCGUUUACUAUCAUGAUACGGUUUCGUAAACAAUUGGCGAAGUCUAAAGCUAAAGUAUAUUUUUAUAAAUUAACUUGUAAACUUGAUAUUUAUUUCGUUACCACUGUUGAUCAAUAUGGAUUUAGGGGAGAAAAAUGUUAUGGUAACCACGACACCAUUGUUGAUAUUUUGAUUAAAGUUUUUGGUUACGUUGCCAAUCGAGACGAUGUCGGUGCUAUUGUAGGUGCUCCUGUGAUUUUUUAAUUUUAUACUCCAUCAGCGAAGAUGACAUGAGUGGAAGUAAAUUUGAUGAAGAUAUUAAAAAAUCAAAAUCACCCAUAUGAUCAAGUGACAUGGUUUACAUAUUGUACAUCUAAUUAUCACUAAAUCAGCAUUAGGAUUGAGUUGAAGUCAACAUUAUGUUGGCAUCAUCAUGUUUGUGAUACAGAGAGUGAAGUAACAAAAGCAUCACAUGCAUUGCAAUCCUGACUAAAAGAUAAGUCCCUUUUUCUCUUUGUACAACUAUCCAAAGAUUCCAUUCAAAAUCACAUCUAAAACUCACAAUUUACGUUAUUUUAUGAAAUCUAAAUACAUUCAGUCGUCAGUUGACUGUUUUUACAUAAAAACAAAUAAUAAACAUUAAAGAAUUAUACUUAAAUAUAUAAAAUAAGUAAAACAAAAUUGUCUUGAAGAUCUUGUGCCCAGAAAGGGAUAAACAGUGCAUAAUUUGCCGACUAAUUCCAGUAAUAAUGCUGCGCGCAUUGCUGAGAUGCGGAUUGAGCAACAGUGUGACAUUGACGAGCUAUGUGAGCAUUGCCGGCUUUGAUUGGCAGUCACACCACCAGGGCGAGGAGGUAAUAAUGCUGCGCGCAUUGCUGAGAUGCGGAUUGAGCAACAGUGUGAUGUCGAUCAGCUACGUGAGCGUUGCCGGCUUCGAUUGGCAGUCACACCGCCAGGGCGAGGAGGGAUCGCGAAGAAGUGCAAUGGCCAUUACUACUUAAGGC